GUGGUGCCGCUUCUUACGAAAGUUAGGGUUGCUUUCUAGAGAGCUCAUGAAACAGGAUCAAGCACAAUGCCAUAAUAGUGCGGAGUAAUAUAGAACUUCUCGCUGAAACAAGAGGUUAGUGUAUGUGCGGUAUGUCCGGUUCUAUUACAUAAAAGUACAAGUUUAAAGCUGAGCUACUUGUCACUUUGAUAGAGCUUUGAGAUACUUGCACUAAGUAAAGAUUUAACUCGAAAGAGACCUUUAUGUAUGUAUAUUAAUCUCACGGAAAUUUUGGCUGUAUAUUUCUAAUGUUUUAUUUAUUGUUUUUGUUUUAUAAACAAAAGUGGGGGAUUGUUGGUAAUUUGUUUAUAAAACAAAUUGAGAGGUGC
rnacentral:lncRNA from 1 species